rnacentral:rRNA from 1 species
CACGGUAGGGCGCAAGCGUUGUCCGGAAUUAUUGGGCGUAAAGAGCUCGUAGGCGGUCUGUUGCGUCUGCUGUGAAACCCGGGGCUUAACCCCUGGCUUGCAGUGGAUACGGACGAGACUAGAGGUAGGUAGGGGAGAAUGGAAUUCCCGGUGUAGCGGUGAAAUGCGCAGAUAUCAGGAGGAACACCGGUGGCGAAGGCGGUUCUCUGGGCAUUACCUGACGGCUGAGGAGCGAAAGUGUGGGGAGCGAACAGG